AUAAUAAGGAUUAUGACAUCACUGUUGCUCCUCCUGUUUCUGAUUAUGAGUCUUUAGCUAGUGAGCUGGGUUUUCAUUCUCAUUCCAGGUGAUAAUGGCAAGUCCCAAAAUCUUGUCAGGCCUAGGAAACUGCCGUCUUUACAUGGAUGGAAGAUGAGGGGCUCAUCCUUUUGAGUGUACCUGUGUGGGAGAGGAAAUAAGAAACCACCUUCUUCCCCUACCUCCAUUCAUUAGGACUUCUUGGGUUGGAGGAGGCAUCAUCUGCCUUGGAAUCCUUGAAUGCUAAGUUGGGCUGGAAGCAGAGGAAGAGGUAGACCAUGCUCUCGUGGCACACACAGUUGAUAGUUCGCAUCCGCCGGUCUCGGGAGACAAUGGAGGAGUGCCUGACAAGAUUUUGGAGUCUCCCAGGAUUCAAGACGUGAGAACCCAGCCCGGGAUGAAUAAGUAAUCGCUGAGGGAACAGUGAUGUCACAAUCAUGUUGGCCAAAUGGCAGCAUUUUCAGCCUCAACUGUUGCCAGGCAAACUUUCAAGUACAUUUUCUCGAACAGCCACAGCAAUCAUUUCUUCCCCCUACCUAUUGUGUAAUUGCUGCCAAUCACAGGACUAAUAUUGAGAAUGGAGCGUUAGGAGAGAUCUGAGUUUUCAGAGUCCCGGUGUGGUACAGGUGCAGAGAGAUUGAACUAUGAAUCAGCACGUUACUGGCAACUCUGUUUUAGGCAAGCCACACUCUUUCAGCCUCAGCCCCAACACACAAAAUCUGCAAAUACAGGGAUGGUAAUAAUACUGACCUGCCUUGCAGGUGGCUUUAAGGGCAUGUACCAAGGUACUUUCCAGUUACGCAAUAGAAACAAACAAGUCUUGUGGCCCCUUAAAGACUAACUAUGUAUUAUUGCACACACUUUUGUGAACUACUGUCUACUUCACCAGAUGCACGGAGUAUUAUCCUGAGUUCAAAGUUGGGGCAAAGUAUC